CCUUUGUUAACGUAAUCAUUUUAUUGAACCAGUUGAACCAGAAAUUGAACCAAUUUCUGUUGAAUAAUUAUCAUGUACAUUCUGUGUGCUAGACAUUUGUAAUCAAAAUUUGUAAUCAAAAUCAUCUCUUCUUUAAGAUGCAGAUUGGGGAAGACAGGAGUUUAAGCAUUUGCAUCUCUUAUGGUGAUGGUACGACAGCAGCAGUUACAAGAAACAUCCAGAGGGCCUGGGAGAGCACACCCAAUGAAAACAUCUCCUACCAUGAGAGACCAGAAUCAAGCAGAGAAUAGUUGCUCCCAGUAGACCAAGAGCUCCUUUCACGCAACUGAAAUUCAAUUGACAUCCCAGCUAGAGCCCCAGCGGGAGCUGCCCAAGAGCAUCUGAGUGCAGGUUUGGACACUUGUGAGUUACAGCCUUGUCAAUUUCAGCCUUUCCAUUUGUUGCUUUUAGUUCUCAAGUGGCAGGUCUUGCCUGUGCCCUACUGACCGCACUGUCUUGUGGACACAAGGCAAAUGGUUCCAGGUUUUCUGUUAGCCAAGCAAAGGCAUUUUUUAAAGCUCAUUUCUUUCCUGCCUCUAUUAAGUAUCACAGAACUAUAUUGAUAGAAUAUAUAAACUCACUGUCUACAGGUCCUGUGGUAUGUUAAAAAAUAUUCUGGCACCUGUUGAUGUUUCUUUUCCAAUAUCCCCUUCCAUGCUGGACACUCAAUGUCCAUUAUUGCUCAAGUGCUUGGACACUCCUCCAUUGAUACAUUUUUUUUAAGAUUCAUUUAUUUUAGAGAGAGAGAAAGCAGUAGCAGGAGGAGCAGGAGGACAGGGAAAGAGAAUCUCAAGCAGACUCCCGGCUGAGUGCAGAGCCUGAUGCAGGGCUUGAUCUUAUGAUCCUGAGAUCAUGACCUGAGCCAAAACCAAAAGUUGGAUGCUUAAUGGACUGUACCACCUAGGUGCCCCUAUUGAAUCAUUUUUGAUGAGCUGCAGAACAAUUUUUGCCAUAAUUGAAAAUGUAUCAUGACAAAGUUUUAAAAAACUGUAAUCUUCUCUUAAUUACCAAGCAGGAAAUACAGAUGAAAUGUAAGACUCCCUGGAGUGCCUGGGUGGUUAAGUCGGUUGAGUGGCCAAUGCUUGGAUUUAGCUAGGGUCAUGAUCUCUGGGUAGUGGGAUUGAGCCCCACAUGGGACUCCACAUAGCACGGAGUCUACAUGUCCCUUUCCCUCUGCUCCUCCUUCCACUCAUGUUCUCUCUCUCUAAAAUAAACAGAUAAAUAAUAAAAUCUUUAAAAAAAUG
rnacentral:lncRNA from 12 species